GGGUUGUGAGGUUAAGCGACUAAGCGUACACGGUGGAUGCCCUGGCAGUCAGAGGCGAUGAAGGGCGUGCUAAUCUGCGAUAAGCGCCGGUAAGGUGAUAUGAACCGUUAUAACCGGCGAUACCCGAAUGGGGAAACCCAGUGUGAUUCGUCACACUAUCAUUAACUGAAUCCAUAGGUUAAUGAGGCGAACCGGGGGAACUGAAACAUCUAAGUACCCCGAGGAAAAGAAAUCAACCGAGAUUCCCCCAGUAGCGGCGAGCGAACGGGGAGGAGCCCAGAGCCUGAAUCAGCAUGUGUGUUAGUGGAAGCGUCUGGAAAGGCGCGCGAUACAGGGUGACAGCCCCGUACACAAAAGCGCAUGUGCUGUGAGCUCGAUGAGUAGGGCGGGACACGUGGUAUCCUGUCUGAAUAUGGGGGGACCAUCCUCCAAGGCUAAAUACUCCUGACUGACCGAUAGUGAACCAGUACCGUGAGGGAAAGGCGAAAAGAACCCCGGCGAGGGGAGUGAAAAAGAACCUGAAACCGUGUACGUACAAGCAGUGGGAGCACAGGUUUACCUGUGUGAC
rnacentral:rRNA from 2 species